AACUUUCGACAAUGGAUCACUUGGCUCUCGCAUCGAUGAAGAACGCAGCGAAUUGCGGUAAGUAAUGUGAAUUGCAGAAUUCAGUGAAUCAUCGAAUCUUUGAACGCACCUUGCGCUCUUUGGUAUUCCGAAGAGCAUGCCUGUUUGAGUGUCAUGAAAAUUACAACCUUGACUUGGGUUUAGUGAUAUUGUCUUGGCUUGGAUUUGGCUGUUUGCCGCUCGAAAGAGUCGGCUCAGCUUAAAAGUAUUAGCUGGAUCUGUCUUUGAGACUUGGUUUGACUUGGCGUAAUAAGUUAUUUCGCUGAGGACAAUCUUCGGAUUGGCCGAGUUUCUGGGACGUUUGUCCGCUUUCUAAUACAAGUUCUAGCUUGCUAGACAUGACUUUUUUAUUAUCUGGCCUCAAAUCAGGUAGGACUACCCGCUGAACUUAAGCAUAUCAAUAAGCGGAGGAU
rnacentral:misc_RNA from 1 species